rnacentral:rRNA from 1 species
CGUUUGACCUCGGAUCAGGUAGGGAUACCCGCUGAACUUAAGCAUAUCAAUAAGCGGAGGAAAAGAAACCAACAGGGAUUGCCCUAGUAACGGCGAGUGAAGCGGCAACAGCUCAAAUUUGAAAUCUGGCUCUUUUAGAGUCCGAGUUGUAAUUUGCAGAGGGCGCUUUGGCUUUGGCAGCGGUCCAAGUUCCUUGGAACAGGACGUCACAGAGGGUGAGAAUCCCGUACGUGGUCGCUAGCUAUUGCCGUGUAAAGCCCCUUCGACGAGUCGAGUUGUUUGGGAAUGCAGCUCUAAAUGGGAGGUAAAUUUCUUCUAAAGCUAAAUAUUGGCCAGAGACCGAUAGCGCACAAGUAGAGUGAUCGAAAGAUGAAAAGCACUUUGGAAAGAGAGUCAAACAGCACGUGAAAUUGUUGAAAGGGAAGCGCUUGCAGCCAGACUUGCUUGCAGUUGCUCAUCCGGGCUUUUGCCCGGUGCACUCUUCUGCAGGCAGGCCAGCAUCAGUUUGGGCGGUGGGAUAAAGGUCUCUGACACGUUCCUUCCUUCGGGUUGGCCAUAUAGGGGAGACGUCAUACCACCAGCCUGGACUGAGGUCCGCGCAUCUGCUAGGAUGCUGGCGUAAUGGCUGUAAGCGGCCCGUCUUGAAACACGGACCAAGGAGUCUAACAUCUAUGCGAGUGUUUGGGUGUCAAGCCCGAGCGCGUAAUGAAAGUGAACGGAGGUGGGAACCCGCAAGGGUGCACCAUCGACCGAUCCUGAAGUUUACGGAAGGAUUUGAGUAAGAGCAUGGCUGUUGGGACCCGAAAGAUGGUGAACUAUGCUUGAAUAGGGUGAAGCCAGAGGAAACUCUGGUGGAGGCUCGCAGCGGUUCUGACGUGCAAAUCGAUCGUCAAAUUUGGGCAUAGGGGCGAAAGACUAAUCGAACUAUCUAGUAGCUGGUUCCUGCCGAAGUUUCCCUCAGGAUAGCAGUAACGUAUUCAGUUUUAUGAGGUAAAGCGAAUGAUUAGAGGCAUGGGGGGUUGAAACAACCUUCCCCUAUUCCCAAACUUUAAAAAUGUA